GUGCGGGUAGCUCAGAGGUAGAGCAUUCGACUUUUAAUCGAAUGGUCGUGGGUUCGAUCCCCACCCCGCACACCA
rnacentral:tRNA from 1 species